rnacentral:rRNA from 1 species
UACGUAGGGACCAAGCGUUGUUCGGAUUUACUGGGCGUAAAGGGCGCGUAGGCGGCGCAACAAGUCACUUGUGAAAUCUCCGGGCUUAACUCGGAGCGGUCAAGUGAUACUGUCGUGCUAGAGUGCGGAAGGGGCUACUGGAAUUCUCGGUGUAGCGGUGAAAUGCGUAGAUAUCGAGAGGAACACCUGCGGCGAAGGCGGGUAGCUGGCCGACACUGACGCUGAUGCGCGAAAGCCAGGGAGCGAACGGG